UAGAGAACCACAGUGUGGGAUCUCUUUGCCUAUUGAAGGUCUCAUCUUGGAAAGCCCACAUCUUUUUAUGUGUGAAAUAAAUUUUCCUUAUAUAAAUCUGCAAGAUACAAUGAGUGAGGACAGAAGGAGGAAUAAGCAGGAGGGGAAGCAAACUGAAAGAAAACUGGUGACGGACUGAGGAGAGGAGGGAGGGAAGGCACGGCAUGGAGUAGGGGCAAGCAGAGGAUGCUUGGUUCCCAGAAGAGCGAGUGCUGUGAGCUGAGGCUGUCCCUCAUCAACGCAGAGAUGAGAGCAACGCGGACAGGGUGCUCGCAGGAUGCUCCUCACCCUCGAGACCCCAUGAGAAGCCCAGAUCCUCAGGGGAGUUGGCAAGCAGGUGGCAAUCUGCAAUACCUCACAUCCUGCACCACAGGAGUUCUGCCUUCAAUUUCAAGGAGCUAUAAGUCACCUCCGACGGUCCUGUAUGUUAACGUGUUGCCUACAGAUCAUGCAUGGGGAUGAAGGAUCCUGCACAGGGGGAUCAAUACAGUCAAUCUGUUAGAAAGCCUUUGGCCUCUUUGAUACUUCUGUUGAUUCAUGCAUGGGAAAGACUCUUUUUAUCUCCAAGAGUAUUGCCUCACAUGGUAGAACCUCAUGGCUAUAACAGAGAACAUGACUAACUAUUGGACUGGAAACUGAUUGAUUGGUGUAUGAAAGACUCUGCAGUAAUGGGGACGUGGAUGAUGGUGCAGGCAGUCUUCUCUUUUUUGUUUCUACUGUCAGCUGCAGAGUUUCACAGUUAAUGCCCUUGCUAAAGAGCAGAGAGGAGGCUUUGAAGCACUCACUCUGAUCUCUGCAGGGGAGCUGAGGGCCUUCUGAGAGCUCAGAGCAGAGAAACCCUUUGGGCUCAGGUUGUUUCCCCUCCUUAGAAAGGAGCAUAACUCAAUUCCCACACAGCUUUUAGCACAGGUCAUCUGAAAAUGCCCACAUGUUGCAGAAUAUACUGUCAAAAAUGAUGAAUUGCAUGUUGCACUUGUUAUGUGAAGAAAUUUAACUCAGUAUUUUAUCCAGCAAUCCUCAAAGUAUCCCUAGAUCAUAAUAUUUAGUUCAUAUUUAUUGCUUUUUUGUCCCAUGUUGCUUUGCUAUUUCAGGUGUGCUGGCAUAUUCUACUCUAAAUUCUCUUCUCCCUUUAUGACUGACUAAUCUAUGAUGAAGGUGUCUUUGUAAUCACAAGGGAAGAAGCAGCUCCAUAUUAAAAAGGGCCUUGCCAAAUGAGGCAGGAAGGAAAACAAUACCUCAACAUUUAUCUAUUAUUCCCCUGCAUUCAUGCAAUGCAAACAACUCAAAUAAUAUUUAGUUGUGUCAUUCCUGUUAAACAAUGCAGUGCUAUCCAGCUUGAAAGGAAAGCUCUUUCCCUUACAAAGAUUUCUCUUUUCAUGGGAAGUUUGAUGUCAAGGUCUAACCCUGUUUCUGACUCGGCUUCAGGUAUGAAACUGAAUCUACUUAAACUUGUCAGAUAACUUCAGAUUCAACCACUGUUUGAAGAUCUGCAGCAGACCCUGAUGAUUUUUCUUCUCAUCGUAAUCAAUAAAGAUUUUGCUGAAUAAAUGGACAAAGAAAGGACCUGUAAUGAAAGGCUAACAAAAGUCAAGAGAAAUGAAAAAACCCAGGAAGCAAUGAAAGUUCAAAUUGGAAGUUAUGCUGAUGUACAAAUUUAAGCAGUGUUAGCAUCAGGCUUAAUUGUCAUUAA